rfam:Gossypium hirsutum cultivar TM-1 chromosome 15, whole genome shotgun sequence
AUCCCGUGGUGAGGGCAUUUGCAUAGUAACUCUUUGAAUCUUUCUCAUGCCUUGUAUAAGGAUUCAUCAUCCAAUACUAAAAAGUGGUGAUUUCAUUCCGCAACU